CGCCACUGACGCACUUACGCCAAUGGGGCGAGUCAACACACCGCGGCUCAGAGCUCAGUGAAGCUGACCCCCCCACAGAAAAAAUCCAAGCAAACAGGCUGAGUGGUUAGUGCUUCGUUUGUGCUGAUUUGUGCCGGUAAAAUUUUCGUUUGUGCUGCUAUCGUUUUUCAGAUAUUACAAGUUUUAUUUUUGGGCGAUGACGUCAUCAUCCCCCCAGCUUGCUCCAAAAUAUACCAGACUUGUCUACUUUUUUAGUGCUUCGUUUGUGCUGAUUUGUGCCGUUAAAAUUUUCGUUUGUGCUGCUAUAGUUUUUCAGAUAUUACAAGUUUUAUUUACAGACGAUCACAUGACCCGAAUUGAUGACGUCUGUGGUCUGCGCCAUAGACAUCAACACCACCGUCCGUGGCUGUCAACAGCGGCAGCGUUCUGCGCUUCCUACAGAAUGUUGUACUACUUAUCUGUUAUUAAAUCAGCGACAAAGUGAAGUUGUCGGAUGUUACCAAUACAAGAAGGAAUGAAACUUCUGCUGGACACUGAGAAUGCUCCAGGAUUGGCCUGAGGCAGGGAGACUGGGGCAGCCGGAGUCCUUCUUCCACAGCAGUGUCAAGCUGAGCCACACCAGAAUUCCUCAGAACAGAAAGGUCAGGAGAAACAAGUGGCACUUCCCUUGUCAUUCCUUUGCUGAGGUAACAGUACUGUGAAGAGCAGUGUUUUGUGAGAUACACACUGGAUACAUUUCUCAUUGUUUUUGCAAUGACAGUAGAGAUGUUGCACUGUGCAUCAACUUGGAGGGCACCGGACCUCAACUGGACUGCUUCAAACAUUGUACUAAGCAGCUCUGCCCUCUGUGAGUAUGUCUGUUUGGUGACCCAUCUGUGACGACAGCUUUCACCAGCUGCAAGACUGGGUUGUCACUGUCUCUCCUAACAGCAUUUUGAAAUGCAGAGCUGUCACAGAAAGCACAACAUAAAGCCUGACAAAACGCAUCAAAUGUGCAGGUGUUCAACACAGAGAUCAUUGAUUUGCCAAGUCUAAUAGGCUGAUGAAGGUUUCCAUUUUUUAAUAAUCCCACCUUCACUCUUUUGGCCCCAAAAGAUGGAUCUACGUGGAGCCACUCAGCGCAAGGAGAGAGGUAGGAAGUCCUCUUCCUUUUUUUGGGUGGAACCACUUGGCCUCUCCAGUUUUCGACCGCUUCAUCAUCUGCUGAAGGAAUGUUUGUGGCAGCAUCACAUUCCACAAAAGGAGCAAAUCCGCAUAUUUCCUUCAAUGAAAGACAAAUGACGAGCAAUGAAGCGAUCAACUCGAACUGGCAAGUUUUCAUGUUUGAAAAGGCCAUGUUUUAUAUUUCUGAACUCUGCUUCAGCAGUGGCUGAGCUUGCUGUGAUGCUGGUGCUUUGGAAGAGAGGGACCAUUAUUCCUGUCCAGAGCGGUCAGUCUGGAUCUCAUCACAUGGAUCCACUGUUUUCAUUUCCUCUCUCUCUUCUCCUGGAGUGAUGAUGGAGUCCUCUGCAAUUUGGGCUUUUAGGUAUUUCUUGCACCUUUCUGAUGCGAGAGGGACUCCAGAACUGUCGUCACCCUCUGCCUCACUGAGGGCAACAACAGUGAUAGCAUGCAAUCCCACUGGCAGAUCAUCUUGAUGCAGUGUGCAACAUCAACCCUGACAAAACAAGGGGGAAGUUUUGCAGACUGGUUCCCACCAUUUGCACCACUGGGACACUGGAGCAGUUGUGUGCUGUCAGAAUGCCUUGAUAAAGGAAGAUAUGGCCAGAUGUACCAUUUGGUCUCACCAGUUUUCUCACUACUGAGCCAGUUGCAUCAAAACACACUGCUGGGGUGGCCAAAUUUGGUAGGUGGCUUGGCUCAGGAUCUCCAACAUCCAUUAGAUCUGCUGCCUUUGCUGACCUCCAUACAGCUGGUUCCAUCCUGCCCUCACACAGCUCUUUCGCAAUCUGCUCACGCAGGUUUCCAGACAUGAACCGCUUGGAACGGCCAGUGUGCAGCGAGAUGUCUGUAUUUUUUAUGUCACACUGAAACAUCAUUGGGCUAUUAAUUGCUGGCUCUCUGUCACAUUUCAUUUCCAAAUGGCCAUUGCACUCCUUACAGUAGCCUCUAAUCUGUAUGUAAGUAUUAGUGACAGUUGGAUAAACCUUGGCUCUUUGGAACACAAAUGUGCAUGAGUUUUUUAUCUUCUUCCACAAUAAAUUAUUUAUGACAUGAGUCCAAGUGCCAGUUUUCAAAACUGUGUAUUCCCUUUUCUGAGAUGGAGAAAACUUGUCUUUGUAUUGCACUUUUUCUGGAAUAAAUUUAAUCCAUUCCUCAAAAGGCACUUCCAGCUGAAAAGCUUGACAAUCUUUUUGUUCAGGAGAAAUGCAACCUGAGUCUGACUCCAUGUCAACAGUACUGUCUGGAUCACUUUCCUGGUCACUAAAUUCCAAAACUGACCAGAUGUUAUGUCUGUUCAGCUUCACAAAAGUGUACAGGGCCUUUGCAGACAUCUUGCCUUCUAACUGCUGACUCAGCUCUGUCCAGACAGUGGCAGCUGGAGUGGCUAUUUUGCCAUUGUUGACUAUGGCCUCUUUUGAAGUGCAGAGAACAGCAAAAAUUGAAUCCCUGUCUACUGAUGGCUUUCGGGGCAUCUAGUUAAAAAAAAAAACGAUGAUUAGCACUGAUCAAAACAUUAAUUCUGGCCUAUAUAAUCUUCCUGGAGACACAAAGCAUAUCAGUCUCCAGCAAUCUACAUGCUUACUUGGGUCUUUUGUGCAUUUACAAAUGAAGUGUUUCCUGUUUAAUUUUGAAAAUGUUAGCGAUACCAUGUUAGCUAAAUCAUGUUAACUUGGAAUUUUACUGCAUUAUUUUUGCUAAAACCUCGGUAUUUUACAAGUGCACUUACCGUGUCUAGAAAUCAGAUUUAUCUGAAGGUUGUAAAAAUACCACUGAAACGGUAAAAUUGUGAAAAGGUCAUCCAAUGUGUGUGUCUUGUGAAAUGGCUGUGAAAGACUGCUAUUUUGUGUCGUUCUUAGUGGGGAGUGCUGAAUGUUGUUUUUUUUUUUAAUGCUUCAUGCUCCUAAAUAAACUUUGAAGCGGUUUCA